GGCUUCGUUGUCGAGUGGUAAGGAUACUUGCCUCACAGCCUGGAGUCCUGGGUUCAAUUCCCGGUCGAGGAGCUA